AUUGAACGCUGGCGGCAGGCUUAACACAUGCAAGUCGAGCGGGGUGAUGGUGCUUGCACUAUCACUUAGCGGCGGACGGGUGAGUAAUGCUUGGGAAUCUGCCUAUUAGUGGGGACAACAUCUCGAAAGGGAUGCUAAUACCGCAUACGUCCUACGGGAGAAAGCAGGGGAUCACUUGUGACCUUGCGCUAAUAGAUGAGCCUAAGUCGGAUUAGCUAGUUGGUGGGGUAAAGGCCUACCAAGGCGACGAUCUGUAGCGGGUCUGAGAGGAUGAUCCGCCACACUGGGACUGAGACACGGCCCAGACUCCUACGGGAGGCAGCAGUGGGGAAUAUUGGACAAUGGGGGGAACCCUGAUCCAGCCAUGCCGCGUGUGUGAAGAAGGCCUUAUGGUUGUAAAGCACUUUAAGCGAGGAGGAGGCUCUUUUGGUUAAUACCCAAGAUGAGUGGACGUUACUCGCAGAAUAAGCACCGGCUAACUCUGUGCCAGCCGCCGCAGUAA
rnacentral:rRNA from 1 species